rnacentral:lncRNA from 1 species
GUUUUAUUGAGCACUAGCUAAGUGCUCCGCAAACUCUAUUCUUCUUAAUGCUCACGAUAGGCCCAGAAAGUAGUUAGCUGUGCAGACUCCUGUGACCCCAGGUGACAAGAAGCCUGUGGCUCAGUGGAGGACCCACUUCCAUGGUGCCAGGCUUGUGUUCACUGAGCCCCCUGGGGAUCAUCAAAACCUCCAGAUGCCCGAGCUCUGCCCAAGGGGUUGUGGCUUCAUUCCUCUGGGUGUGCCUUGGGUUUUGGGAUUUUUAAAGGGUUCCCAGAAAAGUCUGAAUAUGCAAACAAGUUUGGGAAGCACCGGUUUUCUGAAGAGAAUUUAAUGAAGGGACUUUCAAAAACCCCAAUGAGCAGCUUUGCUGAGAUUUAAAUGACCCACAGUGAACUGCACAUAAUCAAAAUAUGCCAUUUGAUACUUUAAAAAAAAAAAAAAAAACUACCUUAACCAUUUCAAGUAUAGAGUUCGGGAGUUCUAAGUGUGUUCCCACUGUUAGGUGACCAGUCUCCAGAACGCUCCCAUCCCGUGACACAGAGAGUCACUAGGACCCACGAAGACUCCCCAACAUUCCCUCUCCCAGCCCCCACUUUGUCUUUAUGACUCUAAAUACCUCGCGUGAGUGGAAUCAUAGAGCAUUUGUGACUAAUUUCACUUAGCACGAUGUCCUCGAGGGCCAUCCUUAAACGGGGUGACAGGGUUUCCUUCCCUUUCAAAGCUAAUAUUCCAUUUUACACACAUUCCUUUGCUUGACCCUUGUCUCUCGUGGACAUCGAGGCUGCUUCCUCCUCUGGCC